rnacentral:lncRNA from 1 species
GCCCAUUCAGAUCCUGUCCCAAUGCCCACCUGUGGUAACACCUUCCUUUCUCUCAACCUGGCCUUUCUCACCCACAAGGUGGGAAUGGUGAUUUCCACCUCUCGGGAGAAGAGAGAAUGGGCCCGGAUCUGAGGGGCAUUAACAGGGGAGCAGAGUCUUACUGUGUCAAAUUCUAUCUUGUCCGUGACCUUUGGCGGGCUAUGUGCUGGCACGGAGAGGAAGUUGGAGCGAGGUGUCUGGACCAUGGCGAGGAAAUGGAUCAAUUCUUGCCCUCGUGUUCACUGAAUGAAGUAACUUACAGCCCCAGCUUUGCAGCCAGACAGAGCCCUGGGCAAGUUACCCUGGCCUCGGAGCCCCCACACCUGACACCCCACGUGUUCUCAGCUGUAACGUGGGUUGCAGACACCCGUGUUGCCAAUGUUAUUACCAUGAUUGUUGUUUUCUUCCACUGGCAGAUGCACAGGAAAUGGCUCUCUCUGCUGAACUGAGCACCUCUGGGGCUCCUUCCUGGCCUGGGGUUUCUUUGAGACAGGCCCAGGAGAGUGACAGCCGGGCCUGAGAGGGAAGGACAGGCUGUGACUCACAAAGGUGCAGGAGUCCUCUCCCCGGGUUCACCGGGAGCUGACGGGCUAGGCCGUGGGAGGCCUUGAGACCAAGCUCCGACUUUGGAGAUGGGCCAGGCUUGGCUGGGCGCCUCCAGUGGUUUUGAACAGGGGGCGCCAUGAGUUAACUGGUGCUUUCAGAAAGCUAAACCUGGCAGCAAGUGGCUUCUUCAGAGAAGGGACUCACCCAACAUCAGAAUGUUUACCAAAAUCAAUCACGCGGUGGGCCAUAGAGAAAGUCUCCUUACACUGCAAAGAAUCUGUGUGGUUAUACCGUGUCUGCGAUCACAGUGAAAUACAACUAGAUAUUAAAAGCAAAAGAA